rnacentral:rRNA from 1 species
ACGGCUCAGUAACACGUGGACAACCUGCCCUUAGGUUGGGUAUAAACCCGGGAAACUGGGUAUAAUACCCGAUAGGUCUCGAUUGCUGGAAUGCAUCGAGAUUUAAAGCUCCGGCGCCUAAGGAUGGGUCUGCGGCCUAUCAGGUAGUAGUGGGUGUAGCGUACCUACUAGCCUACGACGGGUACGGGUUGUGAGAGCAAGAGCCCGGAGAUGGAUUCUGAGACACGAAUCCAGGCCCUACGGGGUGCAGCAGGCGCGAAAACUUUACAAUGCUGGAAACAGCGAUAAGGGAACCUCGAGUGCCAGGUUACAAAUCUGGCUGUCGUGAUGCCUAAAAAGCAUUGCAUAGCAAGGGCCGGGCAAGACCGGUGCCAGCCGCCGCGGUAACACCGGCGGCUCGAGUGGUAACCGUUAUUAUUGGGUCUAAAGGGUCUGUAGCCGGCCGGAUAAGUCUCUUGAGAAAUCUGGCAGCUUAACUGUCAGGCUUUCAGGAGAUACUGUCUGGCUCGAGGCCGGGAGAGGUGAGAGGUACUUCAGGGGUAGGGGUGAAAUCUUGUAAUCCUUGAAGGACCACCAGUGGCGAAGGCGUCUCACCAGAACGGACCUGACGGCAAGGGACGAAAGCUAGGGGCACGAACCGGAUUAGAUACCCGGGUAGUCCUAGCCGUAAACGAUACUCGCUAGGUGUCGGCCACGGUGCGACCGUUGUCGGUGCCGUAGGGAAGCCGUGAAGCGAGCCACCUGGGAAGUACGGCCGCAAGGCUGAAACUUAAAGGAAUUGGCGGGGGAGCACCACAACGGGUGGAGCUUGCGGUUUAAUUGGAUUCAACGCCGGA